CUCCCUUGACCUUCUUGAUCACACGAGUGCGGAUCUUCUUCUUCUUUGGUUUGCCGUCUUCAGAGAUGGAUUCGACAACGCGAACAUCUUCUGGGAGUUCCUGGAUCUCCUCAGGUUUCUCUUCUUCGUAAGGAACCUCUUCAACGGUGACUGUAGUCUCUGGCACCUUGUCAUCCUCCUCGACGGUUUCGAUCUUGGUUACUUCUUGUUUGUCUCCCUUGACCUUCUUGAUCACACGAGUGCGGAUCUUCUUCUUCUUGGGUUUGCCGUCUUCAGAGAUCGAUUCGACAACGCGAACCUUUUCUGGGAGUUCCUGGAUCUCCUCAGGUUUCUCUUCUUCGUAAGGAACCUCUUCAACGGUGACUGUAGUCUCUGGCACCUUGUCAUCCUCCUCGACGGUUUCGAUCUUGGUGACUUCUUGUUUGUCUCCCUUGACCUUCUUGAUCACACGAGUGCGGAUCUUCUUCUUCUUUGGUUUUCCGUCUUCAGAGAUGGAUUCG
rnacentral:lncRNA from 1 species